rnacentral:rRNA from 1 species
AACAUGUAAGCUAUUUUGCAGCAUUUUUGCAAUUGAACACCUGUUCAUCCAUUGCAUUUAAUGUCAUGGUUGGAUAGGAGAUCAAAUCGGCAUAGAUUUGUGCCAAGAAAAAUUAUUAUUUUGAGCAUUAAUGUUCUCUCUCAUGGGAUUUGGUGGCCUUUUGGAGAUGUUUUGCUUCAUUAUAUAUUGUACGACUCUUGACAAUGGAUAUCUUGGCUCUUGCAUCGAUGAAGAGCGUAGCGAAAUGCGAUACAUGGUGCGAAUUGCAGAAUCCCGUGAACCAUCGAGUUUUUGAAUGCAAGUUGCGCCUGAGGCCAAACAGGCCAAAGGCACGUCUGCCUGGGAAUCAAGCAGUUCAUCACUCUAUUUAAAUAAUCAUAAAAACAUCAAAAAUGAUUUUUUUAUAGAAGUGGAUAGUGGCUCGUCGCGUUUGGUGCGCAGCGUGAUCAAGAUUGUGUUGAUUUCACUUUACAGUGAUCGAUAAUUGGGUGGUGAUCCAUUGCACGUCCUUCAUAAUCGUAUGAUUGUUUAGUGUAAGUCUAUUAAAAAACUUGGCACUUAUUGUGUUGUUUGUGGCAUGUAGAAAAGUGACCCCAGGACAGGCGGGGUAACCCGCUGAGUUUAAGCAUAUAAAUAA